rnacentral:lncRNA from 1 species
AACUUUGAAUCAUCUAUAUCUUAAUUAGAUUUUGAUCAGAUGAAAUUAGAUGAUCAGACCAAUCUGGAUGAUGGGAUAUAGGUGUCCAUCAAUUAUAUCUUUCUUAAUUGUUCAUGUCUUUUUUAAUUAAUGAAAUUAAUUUUAUAUAGGAUUGUGGAUGUUUGAUCAUGGGAUAUCACGAUAUGAUCUAUGAACAAAGGAUGUUGAAAAAAAAAUAUAGAAUUA